UCUCCCUCCCUUUCCCCACAGGGACCAUACAAAUUGUAAAUGAAUUGCUUGAGUUAUUUGAGUGCAAGCCCUAACAGUGAAGUCUGGCUUACACAGGCACAGGGAAUUUCCACGGAGCUAGAGCUGCGGCUCAUGGAAUCACAGACGCUGCCAAAGUAAUGAAAAUGCACACACAGGCACACAGGCAAGGCUGACCACAGAAGAAGCUGCAUGGACACCUGAGGACUCCACAGAGGAGCAGCUUUCCUCCAGGUGCUCUGAAGUGGUGAUGUCAGAAUGGAGGGGACCUGCUGACACUGGCUCUGCCAGACCUCUGUGCUCCCCUCCCCAGCCCCCACGUUCCAGGACUCUUGGCACAAGAAAAUGGAUCAGACAAGAAGGACCAGGUGGCCAGAGCAGGCUGGUUUGGUCAGGGCUUGGCCAUCACAUUCGAGUCACAUGAGAAUGAUGCCAGGAUCCUCAGUGAUGGGCAGCAUCGCUUUGAGAUGCAGUAGAUGACUCACCAAUUCUGGAAUGUGACCAUCUAUCCUUCAGGAGAGGACAUGAGUGUGGGGGUGAAGGAGACACCAUUGCUCACACCCCCAACAGCCCCCACCCCAUGGCUUCCUUCCUCUGCAUCAGCACCACCCCUGAACUCUUAUUCUUGAUUGUCAUAAUUUUUAACAUCUUAACUAGAAAUGAAAGACAUGUGUU